rnacentral:rRNA from 1 species
CUGCCCUUUACGGCCAUCGUCGUAAUGCUCACGGUUACCGUGAUUGCUUGCAUGAGUUUGAUGAACGCUUACCUGAAAUUAUCGCAGCUAUGAGAGAGAAUGACCUUCUCUUGAUUACUGCGGACCAUGGAAAUGACCCCGUAACUUCGGGAGAAGGGGUGCUGACUUUAAGUCAGCCGCAGUGAAUAGGCCCAAGCAACUGUUUAUCAAAAACACAGCUCUCUGCUAAAUCGUAAGAUGAUGUAUAGGGGGUGACGCCUGCCCGGUGCUGGAAGGUUAAGAGGAGUGCUUAGCGUAAGCGAAGGUAUGAAUUGAAGCCCCAGUAAACGGCGGCCGUAACUAUAACGGUCCUAAGGUAGCGAAAUUCCUUGUCGGGUAAGUUCCGACCCGCACGAAAGGCGUAAUGAUUUGGGCACUGUCUCAACGAGAGACUCGGUGAAAUUUUAGUACCUGUGAAGAUGCAGGUUACCCGCGACAGGACGGAAAGACCCCAUGGAGCUUUACUGCAGUUUGAUAUUGAGUGUCUGUACCACAUGUACAGGAUAGGUAGGAGUCUAAGAGAUCGGGACGCCAGUUUCGAAGGAGACGCUGUUGGGAUACUACCCUUGUGUUAUGGCCACUCUAACCCAGAUAGGUGAUCCCUAUCGGAGACAGUGUCUGACGGGCAGUUUGACUGGGGCGGUCGCCUCCUAAAAGGUAACGGAGGCGCCCAAAGGUUCCCUCAGAAUGGUUGGAAAUCAUUCGCAGAGUGUAAAGGUAUAAGGGAGCUUGACUGCGAGAGCUACAACUCGAGCAGGGACGAAAGUCGGGCUUAGUGAUCCGGUGGUUCCGUAUGGAAGGGCCAUCGCUNCACGGAUAAAGCUACCCUGGGGAUAACAGGCUUAUCUCCCCCCAGAGUCACAUCGACCGGGGAAGGUUUGCCACCCUCGAUGUCGCUCGUCGCAUCCUGGGGCUGUAGUUCGUCCCCAAGGGNUUGGGCUGUUCGCCCAUUAAAGCGGCACGCAAGCUGGGUUCCAAACGUCUUGAAAAAGGUUCGGUCCCUAACCGUCCCGGGCGUUAGGAAAUUUUAAAAGGAUUGCUCCCUGUACGAAAGACCCAGAGUGGACUUACCGCUUGGGGUACCAAUUUUCUUUGCCAAAAGCAUCCCUUGGGUACCUUUUGUUGGGAAAGGGAUAAACCCCUAAAGCCUUUUAAGUGGAACACCCCCCUCAAGAAGAAAUUUCCCCUGAUUUAU